rnacentral:rRNA from 1 species
UUGGAGGGCAAGUCUGGUGCCAGCAGCCGCGGUAACUCCAGCUCCAAUAGCGUAUAUUAAAGUUGUUGCAGUUAAAAAGCUCGUAGUUGAAUUUCGGGGUCAGUAGGUCGGUCGUGCCACUGGUAUGAACUGGUUUUACUGAUUCCUCCCUCUUGAAGAACUGUAAUGCCAUUAAUUUGGUGUUGCAGGGAAUCAGGACUGUUACUUCGAAAAAAUUAGAGUGUUUAAAGCAGGCUUUAGCUUGAAUACAUUAGCAUGGAAUAAUGAAAUAGGACGUUUGAUCCUAUUUUGUUGGUUUCUAGGAUUGACGUAAUGGUUAAUAGGGAUAGUUGGGGGCAUUAGUAUUCAAUUGUCAGAGGUGAAAUUCUUGGAUUUAUUGAAGACUAACUACUGCGAAAGCAUUUGCCAAGGAUGUUUUCAUUAAUCAAGAACGAAAGUUAGGGGAUCGAAGACGAUCAGAUACCGUCGUAGUCUUAACCAUAAACUAUGCCGACUAGGGAUCGGAUGAUGUUAAUUUUUUAAUGACUCAUUCGGCGCCUUACGGGAAAC